UCUUCCAGCUCAGUUGGUUAGAGUGUGGUAUUGAUAAUACCAAGGCUGCAGGUUCAAGCCCCAUAUGGGACAU